rnacentral:lncRNA from 1 species
CCCUUGAAAAAAAAUGAGGACCCGUCUUUUUUAGGUCACAAGAUUGCGCCAACCCUUACAUGGUCCUUAAAAAAAAAACCUUCUGACACUGCAGUAGUGAAAAUGAAGCGCACGAUGGGCGGAAGCUGUGAGUCCGGCAAAGUUUUAAAAUGAUGACGUAUUUUAUUAACUCUAACGGCACUGGCGGGUGACUGAAAAUACUAGUGCUGUGUAUGCGGGAUAGACAUUAUUUUCCUGCCCUACAUGAGGGGCUCGUGCGCGGAACGACAUGGGCAGCCCCGGCGGAAACUGCAGGCACAAGCCGGGACGCCGCGGGUUUAAAACAUGCGCGUGAGAGGAAGACAAACAUAAAGAUGAAGUGCUUAAUUCAAGGUCACACAAUGUCGGGGAUGGACCUCCAGAUUUCCUUACUGGUGAGACGUGGUCUUGUAACACAGUGGUUAAGAAUGUGACUUUGGAGCCAGCCUGCUAGGGGCUGAAUUCUGACUCAGCCAUUUACUAACUGUGUGACCUUAGGUAAGUCAUUUACCUUCUUUGUCCCUCAGUUUCAUCUCGGUUAAGUAGGGAUAAUGAUAGCACCUAUUUUAUAGGGUUAUUGUGAGGAAUAAAUCCAAGUAAAAUGCUUAGAAUAGUAACUGAAACAUAGCACUCAUUAGGAAUGCUUUAAUUUUCAUUUAUUUGAGUAUUAAAGGUUGAAUUUUCAGAGGUA